UACGUAGGGUGCAAGCGUUAAUCGGAAUACUGGGCGUAAGCGUGCGCAGGCGGUUAUGUAAGACAGGUGUGAAAUCCCCGGGCUUAACCUGGGAAUGGCGAUGGAGACUGCAAGGCUGGAGUUUGGCAGAGGGGGGUAGAAUUCCACGUGUAGCAGUGAAAUGCGUAGAUAUCCGGAGGAACACCGGUGGCGAAGGCGGCUUCCUGGACCGAUACUGACGCUGAGGCGCGAAAGCUAGGGGAGCAAACGGG
rnacentral:rRNA from 1 species